rnacentral:lncRNA from 1 species
GGCUGUGAACAAGCUGGUGGAAAGCUAUCUUAAAUGGCGACUUCCCAUCAAAAAAUACGAUAUGGUUCCGACGGAAAGCUUCGUCGGAGAAGCCUCCUCUUGCCAGAUACUGUUCCUGCAGCCUAACUUCUUCGACAAAGUCGAAGAUGGGAGCAUUGUGAUGAGGAAAUCGCAGAAUUUCACCUUCUGCAAAGAGGGUGUAAUCCUCGACGGAGAAGAUCAUGUCCCGUUGCAAGCCGACGUCGUCAUCUUUGCAACGGGAUAUAAAGGCGAUGAGAAGCUCAAGAACAUGUUCGCUUCCCCCACCUUUCAAAACUACAUUUUUGGAUCUCCAACCUCCAUUAUCCCUCUCUACAGGUAAUAAAUUACUUCUCUACUUUAAUGUUGCAAGUAAUAUAUAAUUCUUCAAAUAAUUAAAUAUUGUUUUUAAUUGCAGACAGAUGAUCCAUCCAAGAAUCCCACAGCUGGCUGUGAUAGGCUACUCGGAGUCGCUGUCGAAUAUUUUCACAUUCGAAAUGAGGUGCAAAUGGCUGUCGCAUUUUCUGGAUGGGGGAUUCACGCUGCCGAGCAUGGGAGCGAUGGAGAAGGAGGUGGAGGCGUGGGAGAAAUACAUGAAGAGGUAUGCAGGUAACAAGGAGUUUAGAAGGUCUUGCAUUGGUGGUGUUCCUAUUUGGUACAAUGAUCAAAUAUGCAGAGACAUCGGUUCUUCUCCAAGAAGAAAGAAGGGCUUUUUCUCAGAGUUGUUUCAGCCUUAUGGCCCCAUAGAUUAUCACGGGAUUUAAUUUCUUUCACUUUUUCCAUAUUGUUAUGUUUAACUACUGCUUCCAAUGUCAUGUGCGCACGUGGUUUCAUCGACAUCAUAUAUCAAGUGAUUAAAUUCAACUUUGGUCGACAUCAAAAAAAAAAAAUUCAACUUUGGUCAUUAUUACUUUUAAUCUGUGAGUCAUUACUUCAGACUGUACUAAUUAAUUAUUACUAUUAAAAAUAUCAUUCAAUGCACGCCGAAUCUAUAUUAAUGCUUUCUUGGAACCGUGUGUAAAUUCAAGGGUGGAAGAGAAAAAAAUAGUUUGGUAAUUGGUAUCCCUAGUUUUAAUCCGUGAAAUAUUUAUUAUUUUUGCAUAAAAAAGAAUAAGUUCUACGCAUAAUUAAUGAGCAUGUUGCUUAUUUGAUUCUUAUAAUUCUAAUUUAAAAAAAAAAAAAGAUCCGAUUUCCUCUAUUACAACCAAUUUAUUUGAAUUAAGAAAUCAACUCAACGACGGGAUCAUCCAAGGGGGAAAAAAAAAACUUCAAAAUUAACAAGUAAAUAAAAAAUUUAAAGAUCGUGUUAUGAUGAACUCUAACAUAGAACCUCUAGAUUUGAGUAUUAAUUACUCCAUCCGUCCUCAUAAAAUGUAUUCAAUUUGUCAUAUUCGUCCGUUCUCAUAAAAUGUAUCAAAUAUAUUUUUGGUAAGUUUUUCACUCAUAAUAAAGUCGGACCAUUACUCCACACACAACACAUUCAACUAUUUUAUUAAAACUCGUGUUAUUUAUAAAUAAUUAUUUUUUAUAAGAAGGGAGAGAGUACUAUCAAUCUUCUACUAACUUUUUCGUUUAUGGAGUUGUUAAUUGUAUAAGUUGGUAACACUAACGACAACAUGUGUUAUUACCAUUAUCGUCGGUAAAGAACUUGAUAUACAUUCCAUUAAUUAACUAACUUAUCACCGCCGCUAUUUGAAUUCUGUAUUCCUACUAAAAUUUAUUAUUUCUCAUAACAAAUUAAUAAGAGCAACUUUACAAUUAAGCGCAAUUCAAUUGAUAAGACGAUUUCCUCUAAUUAGUAGGUUAGAAAUUCGAAUCACCAGAAGAAAAGAUGGGAAACCAUUAUCGACCCUCUCUAAAAAAAUAAAAAUAAGAGCAACUAAACUCAAAAUAAAUAAAUAAAUAGGACCAGUUAAUUAAUUGUAUACAUAUUUAAAUAUAAUAGGGUUAACAACAUGUAUAAAUAUAUAGGUGUUAAUAGAUAUAGAGUGGAUGCAAAUUUUAAUUUUUAACUAGCAUUAUUUUUAGAAUUUGACCCAAAUAUAUAUUCCAUCAAUAAUUAAUCUCACGUGUAUGCUAGAAAUUUAUUACGUGGCAUUUCAACCAAUAAUUAAAAUGUUAUAUUUUUUAUGUAAUAUAAAACGAUGUUAUUUUCUUCAUCUUUUAUGAUAUGCUGCAAACAAUAUAGAGUUCAAAGAGCAUGAUAGAGGAACAAAACGACGUUUUUAUGUUGCAUGAAACGUUGCAUUUUAAUUAUCUGAAAUGCCAUGUACGAAAUUUUCAACAUCCACAUAGGAUUAAUUAUUGCUGAAAUUUUAAUUCAGGCAAAAUUGUAAAAUAUUUAAAAGUUCAUGCAUUUUUUUUUUUUUUGAUAAGGAAAGUAAAUAUUAUAGAACGAUAAGGCACCAGUAGUACCAAGAAGAUUACAAAAUCAUCGGGGAUUCAUCAUUCGACAUCCACCUAUGAAACCCAACUCCAUCAUUAACAAAACCAAAAAUUCUACCCCAACUCCACACUCUAGCUUUGAUUUCCCCAAACAAGUUUGCACUCUCCCAUCUUUUGUUCUCAAAUCUACUCUCAUUCCGCAUUUUCCAAAUAAGCCAAGUAGUACAACACCAAAGAGCCAUCAAGAGCUUCUUAUUUCUUUUCCGGCCACUCAAACUAGUAAAGAACUGGAAGUGCGAGUGCACGUCAUAUGGCUGCGCCAUGCUAACACCGAGCCAUUGAAAGAUUGCUUCCCAUACCUUUGAGGUCUUUGGACAGUGGAUCAACACGUGGUUCGUGGAUUCCUGCCGAUGAAAACAGGCGUUACAUCCCACUUCAUGUAUUAAUCUAAUACAAUAAUACAAAUUAUAUGCAUUUAAUUACACUUCAUGCAUUUAAUUACAUGCAAUUAAUCUAAUACAAUAAUACAAAUUAUAUAUCAAAUUAAUAUUUAACUCACAAGUACAGUAAUGACUUUUAUGAGCAUGUUUAUGAAAUAACGAUAAAAUAAAUAGUGUUCAAUAUUCAAACUUAGACUUGCGCGUUUACAUAAACAAAUGGGCCCAAACUUAUUCCGAGUCUCUGAAUUCUAUAUCUCAUAAUCUUGGUUUCUCAACUAUAUCACAUUAUUAAUAAAUUUAGGGUAAAUACCAUACUCCCUCCGUCCCAAAAGCUUGGGCUGAUUGGGAUUUUCACAAAGAUUAAGAAAAAUCAUUGGAAAUAAAAAUAUAUAAGUAAAUUUUCUAGUAUGCCCAUAUUUAUUAUUUAAUGGUGUAUUAAAGUGGGAGUAAAUUAAAGAAUUAAAUAGGGAUGUAAUAGUAAAUGAGUAAAAAAAUAUUACUACUUUUCAUGGAAACAAGCCUAUAUAAAUGGGACAUUCGAAAAAGGAAAACAAGCCUAAGCUUAUGGGACGGAGGGAGUAUUAAAUUUCAAACUAUACCCGUUUUAUAAAAAAUAUUCUAAAUUAUAAAAAAAUGUUUUUAGAAAUUUCAAAAUAUUAGAUUUGUAUCAAAAAUAUCCUACAUUUAUUUUUCGAUCACCGGAAUGUGGCUCGCCGAAUGUCACUGUAAUUUAUAUUUUAUUGUUUGGCACAAAACGAAAACGACGUCGUUUUGUGUUACGUUAGUUGAUUCAAAUCGCGUUGAAAGUCAGUUUGGCGAGCGUGGAUUUAAGUUUUUUCAAAUGACAUGACAAAAAACGCCAUUUUGUGUCAUGUCAUUUACAAAAAAUAAAAUACUAGUAUAAAUUAUAUACGCUAGCAUCCGGUGAGCCACGUCACGAUUUCGGUCGAAAAAUGAACGUAAAAUAUUUUUGAUGCACACAUAAUAGUUUGUGAUUUUUUAAAAUAUUUCUUAUAAUUCAUGACAUUUUUUAUACAGUGAGUAUAAUUUGAAGUUUCAUAUGAUAUUUACCGAUAAAUUUAUUAGGUACGCAUAUGUAAGAAAGAAAAAUGCGUUAUAUAUAUCGAUGUGAAAUUAACCGAAUCUUUUAAUAUCUUCUUCAAGCUGUUGAGCCUAUAAUUUUCUACAAAUAGUAAUUUCGACGUCGACAUUCCUUCUCAAUAUAAAUCUAAAGAAGAAGCUCCAACUUGUCCAUAAAGAAUUGAAGAUGGAGAAACGAGUAGCCAUCGUGGGCGCGGGAGUCAGCGGCCUCCUCGCCUGCAAAUACGCGUCUGCGAAAGGCUUCACUCCGAUGGUUUUCGAAGAGCAAGAUGAGGUGGGCGGGCUGUGGAAUCACACCUUGGAAUCCACCACUCUUCAAAUUACUAAACAUUUAUACGAGUUUUCAGACUUCCCAUGGCCUUCUUCAGUCCCCGAAGAAACGCCUCCCCACAACACGCAACUUGUGGAAUAUCUGCAAACUUACGCCCACAAAUUCCAGCUGUUGCAGUACGUAAUUUCAAAUGCAAAGUAAUCGAUGUUGAUUACGUUGGAGAGUCUGAAAAUGAGAUGAGGAGUUGGGAUUUGUGGGGUGGAGAUGGUAAAGCCUUCGGAUCCAAAGGAAAAUGGAUUCUAAGAGUUUCCCACGCUGGAGAUGACUCCAUCAAGGUAUAAAUUAACACAUUCUUUUUCUUUUUUUUUUAAUCUGAUAAACAUAUGAAUGCAGGAGUAUGAAGCCGAAUUCUUGGUUCUCUGCAUCGGGAGAUUCAGCGGUCUGCCGAAUUUCCCGAGUUUGCUCCGGGAUACGGAGCCGAAGCUUUUUCCGGCAAAGUUAUGCAUUCAAUGGAUUUCUCCAACAUGGAUAAUGCGCUGCUGCUCAAUUCAUCAAAGGAAAACGCGUCGCCGUUAUAGGUGCUGGCAAGUCCGCAAUCGACAUUGCAUUCGAGUGCGCCAAUGUAAAUGGUAAUUAACCUUUUUCACUUGAUUGGUUUUUAGACGCACGUGGUGUUGGAUUCUGUCAAAUUUAAUUGAUUGGGUUGAUUUGAUUUGCAGGAAGAGAUAAGCCGUGCACAAUGAUCCAGAGAGGUGCGCAUUGGAUGCUGCCCCACCACGCGCAUUCAUGGGGAUUGACAGAUUUUCUCAUCUUCACUCGCUUUGUCGAGCUCAUGCUUCAUAAGCCCGGCGAGGGCUUCUUGUCCGGCGCCAUAGCCACCUUGCUCACGCCUGUGGUAAUUACUUAUACUUUUUACUAAUUUUUGCAUGCAGAAAUUUAUUUGUGAUUUUUUUUUCAUGUUUUAGCGAUGGGGUCUAAACAGGCUCGUGGAAAGCUUUAUUAAAUGGCAAAUGCCCCUGAAAAAAAUGAUAUGAUUCCCAAGCAAAGCUUCGUUAGAGAAGUAUCAUCUUGCCAGAUAAUCCUACUGCAGCCUCACUUCUUCGACAAAGUCGAAGAUGGGAGCAUUGUGAUGAGGAAAUCGCAGAAUUUCACCUUCUGCAAAGAGGGUCUAAUCCUCGA